AACGAACGCUGGCGGCAUGUCUAACACAUGCAAGUCGAACGAGACCUUCGGGUCUAGUGGCGCACGGGUGCGUAACGCGUGGGAACCUGCCUUUAGGUUCGGAAUAACUCAGAGAAAUUUGAGCUAAUACCGGAUGAUGUCUUCGGACCAAAGAUUUAUCGCCUUUAGAUGGGCCCGCGUUGGAUUAGCUAGUUGGUGGGGUAAAGGCCUACCAAGGCGACGAUCCAUAGCUGGUCUGAGAGGAUGAUCAGCCACACUGGGACUGAGACACGGCCCAGACUCCUACGGGAGGCAGCAGUGGGGAAUAUUGGACAAUGGGCGAAAGCCUGAUCCAGCAAUGCCGCGUGAGUGAUGAAGGCCUUAGGGUUGUAAAGCUCUUUUACCCGAGAUGAUAAUGACAGUAUCGGGAGAAUAAGCUCCGGCUAACUCCGUG
rnacentral:rRNA from 1 species